UUCUGCUGGAAUUGUUUACAUUUGAUCAUCUUGUUAAUUUGUUUUCUUUUUCUAAUUUAUUGAUAUUAAUAUUAAUCUGGUCAUUGGUUAAAUUAUUAAUAUUCAUUUAGAAAUUUUAAUUUAUUUUGUGUUAACUUUGACCUUUCAACUGUUCCUUUAGGUGGAGUUUGUGAUCUCUUUCAGCAUUUGAUGUUCUCAAGCUUUGAUUUCAAUGGUUGAUAAUUUCGAUUCUCUAAAUAUGAUGAACACUCCUGGAAAUCAUUCUAUGAAAGUGAUUGAUGUUUGUCUCGAUUUGUAUCAAUUUAUUUCGAGCUUUGACUUGGUCCAAUCAGCUAACGUUUUAUGGUUUAAAAGGAAUCACAAUUGGUGACUGGCAUCAAGUAGCUUAAGGUAAAACUUGUACUGUUUGGAAGGGAACCAAUUAAGACAACCAAGAGCCGAUUCUAUGUUAACGAAUCCAUCUCCCUGAGACAGGAAUACAGUAAAUAUCAACUUCCGGAUGAAGAAAAGGAUCCAUAAUGUCUUUGGUGUCUAAAUACAUUUGAUAACCAUUUGGAUGAUUAAGAUGAGCAAAAUAUUCCUCCAUAUUGAAAGCGGUGUAAUCGGCUGUCG